AGUGAACGCUGGCGGUAGGCCUAACACAUGCAAGUCGAACGGCAGCACAGUAAGAGCUUGCUCUUACGGGUGGCGAGUGGCGGACGGGUGAGGAAUACAUCGGAAUCUACUUUUUCGUGGGGGAUAACGUAGGGAAACUUACGCUAAUACCGCAUACGACCUACGGGUGAAAGCAGGGGAUCUUCGGACCUUGCGCGAUUGAAUGAGCCGAUGUCGGAUUAGCUAGUUGGCGGGGUAAAGGCCCACCAAGGCGACGAUCCGUAGCUGGUCUGAGAGGAUGAGCAGCCACACUGGAACUGAGACACGGUCCAGACUCCUACGGGAGGCAGCAGUGGGGAAUAUUGGACAAUGGGCGCAAGCCUGAUCCAGCCAUACCGCGUGGGUGAAGAAGGCCUUCGGGUUGUAAAGCCCUUUUGUUGGGAAAGAAAAGCAGCAGGUUAAUACAACGCUGUUAUGACGGUACCCAAAGAAUAAGCACCGGCUAACUUCGUG
rnacentral:rRNA from 1 species